rnacentral:rRNA from 1 species
AUUGAACGCUGGCGGCAUGCCUUACACAUGCAAGUCGAACGGUAACAGGUUAAGCUGACGAGUGGCGAACGGGUGAGUAAUGUAUCGGAACGUGCCCAGUCGUGGGGGAUAACUACUCGAAAGAGUGGCUAAUACCGCAUACGACCCGAGGGUGAAAGCGGGGGACCGAAAUGCGUCGCGCGCUUGGAGCGGCCGAUAUCAGAUUAGCUAGUUGGUGGGGUAAAAGCCCACCAAGGCGACGAACUGUAGCUGGUCUGAGAGGACGACCAGCCACACUGGGACUGGGACACGGCCCAGACUCCUACGGGAGUCAGCAGUGGGGAAUUUUGGACAAUGGACGCAAGUCUGAUCCAGCCAUGCCGCGUGCGUGAAGAAGGCCUUCGGGUUGUAAACCGCUUUUGUCAGGGAAGAAACGAGUUUCUCUAAUACAGAGACUUAAUGACGGUACCUGAACAAUAAGCACCGGAUAACUACGUGCCAGCCGCCGCGGUAACAC